AUGUAUCAGUAUCAGGACGAAGGACGAAGGAUGGGGAUCAGUAGUAAGCAAUUCCUAGAUCUCUUGGCAUACUUCGGCCCUCAUCUGCUGCAGGCUGCAUCACUGCACCAUUGUUUGCAUAAUGAAUUCAUCACAUCAAAUACUGAUCCUGGCUGCGAUCGCAGGACUCGUCGAUUGACGAACAUAGAAGAGCCCAACAAUUGAAAAGCGGCGAGCGGAUGGAAAUGCACAAAAUUCAAAUGUCAUUCAAAUAGCGGCUGUCAGGACAAUGGCCACGCACGCGGUCAGGAUCGAUCGGAUCGGUCGGGAGUAGGAGUAGCAGUCGAAGUAUAUACUACAUAUAUAGAGGCGAAAGGUGGUUGAGGUCCUGAGAAGGAUAUUCGAGGAGUGGGAGAAGUACGAGGCACGCCUGCAUCUCAUUUAGGGACUUCGGCAAAUCUUUUCACUUCUUUUUC
ensembl:ncRNA lncRNA:CR44937 long non-coding RNA:CR44937